GAUGAACGCUGGCGGCGUGCCUAAUACAUGCAAGUCGAGCGAAUGGAUUAAGAGCUUGCUCUUAUGAAGUUAGCGGCGGACGGGUGAGUAACACGUGGGUAACCUGCCCAUAAGACUGGGAUAACUCCGGGAAACUGGGGCUAAUACCGGAUAACAUCUUGAACCGCAUGGUUCGAAAUUGAAAGGCGGCUUCGGCUGUUACUUAUGGAUGGACCCGCGUCGCAUUAGCUAGUUGGUGAGGUAACGGCUCACCAAGGCAACGAUGCGUAGUCGACCUGAGAGGGUGAUCGGCCACACUGGGACUGAGACACGGCCCAGACUCCUACGGGAGGCAGCAGUAGGGAAUCUUCCGCAAUGGACGAAAGUCUGACGGAGCAACGCCGCGUGAGUGAUGAAGGCUUUCGGGUCGUAAAACUCUGUUGUUAGGGAAGAACAAGUGCUAGUUGAAUAAGCUGGCACCUUGACGGUACCUAACCAGAAAGCCACGGCUAACUACGUGCCAGCCGCCGCGGUAA
rnacentral:rRNA from 1 species